GGAGCCAUGGCUCAGAGGUAAGAGCACUUGUUUAGUAAAUGAGAGGCUUUGAGUUCAAACCCCGGUACUCCCA
rnacentral:tRNA from 1 species